rnacentral:lncRNA from 1 species
AUGCUAACAAUGCUUAAUAUCUUGCGACUGCAUUGGGGCCAGCAAUUUGUGUGUACUCACUCACACGGAGAUAGCAGUUUUGCUUGCUGCAACGAGAACCAUUUUGUGGAUGAACAAGGAAUCAUGUUUGUUCUUAGACGAGAGGAGGUUGUAAAGGAUGAACCUGACAUCAACCAGAUGAUCCAAAGCUGGCCAGUGCUUUUUUGACUGAAAACCAGGUUUGUGGAUGUGUCCUUUAAUGUUUUUUUUUUUCUUAUUUGUUUUACAUACAUCAUGUUCAGAGAGGUUUAUUUGUGUUAUAAAUAACUCUGCCUGAAUAUCAAAACUGAGCAUAUUUAAUAUUUUUCAGGUUUACCUGGAGUUUAACAGGAUUGUUGGUAGAAAUUUUAAAGAAGAGUUCUUUGGUGUUCUUGAUGGGUUGUGUCCAAUUUUGAUGGAAAUUUCAAGAGGAAAACAGGUCGGAUAGAAAAGCAAUUAGCUGACCUGCUACAUCACAACGGUGGGUUGAUAUUUCACUUUUCUUCUCAUAAUGAUAUUGAUGGUUAGUUCAAUACAUAAACUGUUCUCUUGUGGUAUUUCUCUAUAUGGACAAAUAAACUGAUAUAAGAUUAAUUUCCUUUGUUCUAC